rnacentral:rRNA from 1 species
AGCAGCCGCGGUAAUUCCAGCUCCAAUAGCGUAUAUUAAAGUUGUUGCAGUUAAAAAGCUCGUAGUUGAAUUUCGGGGUCAAUACGUCGGUCGUGCUUCGGUACGCACUGACGAUAUUGGCCCUCCCUUCUGACGAACCGUGAUGUCAUUAAUUUGGUGUUGCGGGGAAUCAGGACUGUUACCUUGAAAAAUUAGAGUGUUUAAAGCAGGCAAUCGCUCGAAUACAUUAGCAUGGAAUAAUGAAAUAGGACGUUCGAACCUAUUUUGUUGGUUUCUAGGAUCGACGUAAUGAUUAAUAGGGAUAGUUGGGGGCAUUAGUAUUCAAUUGUCAGAGGUGAAAUUCUUGGAUUUAUUGAAGACUAACUACUGCGAAAGCAUUUGCCAAGGAUGUUUUCAUUAAUCAAGAACGAAAGUUAGGGGAUCGAAGACGAUCAGAUACCGUCG